rnacentral:rRNA from 1 species
GACGAACCGUGCGAACGUUGUUCGGAAUCACUGGGCUUAAAGGGCGCGUAGGCGGAUUGUUAAGUCAGGGGUGAAAUCCUGGAGCUCAACUCCAGAACUGCCUUUGAUACUGGCGAUCUUGAGUUCGGGAGAGGUGAGUGGAACUGCGAGUGUAGAGGUGAAAUUCGUAGAUAUUCGCAAGAACACCAGUGGCGAAGGCGGCUCACUGGCCCGAUACUGACGCUGAGGUGCGAAAGCGUGGGGAGCAAACAGG